GAUGAAGAACGCAGCGAAAUGCGAUACUUGGUGUGAAUUGCAGAAUCCCGUGAACCAUCGAGUCUUUGAACGCAAGUUGCGCCCGAAGCCAUCAGGUUGAGGGCACGUCUGCCUGGGCGUCACAUAUCGUUCCCAAUGCCUAUUGCAGUGCAAUAGGAAUUUCUAGGGCGAAUGAUGGCUUCCCGUGAGCGUUGUUGCCUCGCGGUUGGUUGAAAAUCGAGUCCUUGGUAGGGUGUGCCAUGGUAGAUGGUGGUCGAGUUAGAACGAUACCGAUCAUGUGCAUGCUCCCCAAAAUAUGGCCUCUAUGACCCACACGCGUCUUUUGACGCUCAUGACGAGACCUCAGGUCAGGCGGGGCUACCCGCUGAAUUUAAGCAUAUCAAUAAGCGGAGGA
rnacentral:misc_RNA from 1 species